AAAAGUUUAGUUUAUUGUGAAAAUAUUAGAUUGUAAAUCUAAAGAUUUUUGGGCUUUUG
rnacentral:tRNA from 1 species